GAGUUUGAUCGUGGCUCAGGACGAACGCUGGCGGCGUGCCUAAUACAUGCAAGUCGAGCGAGGGUUUUCGGACCCUAGCGGCGGACGGGUGAGUAACACGUAGGCAACCUGCCUCUCAGACCGGGAUAACAUAGGGAAACUUAUGCUAAUACCGGAUAGGUUUUUGGAUUGCAUGAUCCGAAAAGAAAAGAUGGCUUUUGGCUAUCACUGGGAGAUGGGCCUGCGGCGCAUUAGCUAGUUGGUGGGGUAACGGCCUACCAAGGCGACGAUGCGUAGCCGACCUGAGAGGGUGACCGGCCACACUGGGACUGAGACACGGCCCAGACUCCUACGGGAGGCAGCAGUAGGGAAUUUUCCACAAUGGACGAAAGUCUGAUGGAGCAACGCCGCGUGAACGAUGAAGGUCUUCGGGUUGUAAAGUUCUGUUGUCAGGGACGAACACGUACCGUUCGAAUAGGGCGGUACCUUGACGGUACCUGACGAGAAAGCCACGGCUAACUACGUGCCAGCAGCCGCCGUAAC
rnacentral:rRNA from 1 species